rnacentral:rRNA from 1 species
UACGUAGGGGCGAGCGUUACCCGGAAUCACUGGGCGUAAAGGGAGCGUAGGUGGCCUGACAUGUCGACUGCGAAAACCCGGAGCUCAACUCCGGACUUGCAGUUGAAACUGCCAGGCUUGAGGACGGUAGAGGAAGACGGAACUGCCAGUGUAGGGGUAAAAUCCUUAGAUAUUGGCAGGAACGCCGGUGACGAAGGUGGUUUUCUGGGCCGGUUCUGACACUGAUGCUCGAAAGCCAGGGGAGCGAACGGGAUUAGAUACCCGGGUAGUCCCUGAGCGGGCUGGCAA